CUACCAUAUUGGGUCUUGUUAUCUUUUUUGUAAACCAACUAUGUCGUGUGUAUAUGUGGGCAAAUUGUAAAUUUUAAUAUAUGAAAAAGAAGGGUUUCUUCUUCCUACAAUUUUGUCAUACAAUAGCAUAUAGUAUCAAAGCCCACUAGCUUCAAACAAUUCCGAUCAAAAUAAGACUCAAAUGAGCAUAAGGAUUCCAAAAUUAAUUUUUUCAAAGGAGAAUCAUCUUGCUAGAGCAUGUUAAAGAUAAAUGCCACGUCGGAUAAAUAUAAGAACAUUGACAAACGUAUUAAGGUUUGGGCUAUUUUUUUUUAACAAAGUUGACCUUUAAGAUAGAAGUCCAAGUCUUAGUAAUAAACCUUUAAACCUGUACUUGACUUGAGUUUAAUGCUUAUCUAGGAGAUUGGCGAAUUAUAUGAGCAGCAAAAGAACUUUGACCAAGCACUUUUGUAUUUCGAGUGGUCUGCGGACCUAUUUCAGGCUGUGGAAGCAACAACAUCUACAUAUCAGUGCAGGUUGAAAGUCGCACAAUUUUAUGCUCAGUCAGGGAAGUAAGUGAUCUCAACUGAUUCUAUGUCACUCUAUUUUUAUUUAUUUAUUUAUUUUCCCAAAACUUUGAAUUUAAGCUUACUACUUUCCAUUUAUUGGAUUGAACAAAUUGGGAAAGAUAAAUUACAUGUUCUUUGUGAAGUUAUGCCUCUAAUAGAAAUGAAAUAUGUAAACAUAAUGAGCAGGAUGUGGCAAUUGGUAAUAGUUGUGCUAACCGAACUCUAGGCGAUUUGAAUUCGUAAGCAUGCUUGAGAGUGCUUUUUAGUAAUAAUAAAUUGUGUGUCCUACAAAAUAUGUAGAUAAAAAUGGCCAGUAAUUGUGGUCGUACGAAAUGUGUAAAUAAAAAGCAUGUAAGGCAACUUAAAUUAUAGUAUUGCCAAACUUGCACCAUAUCUAUGUGGAAUAAGCAAAUACCUUUUGUAUUCAGAUAUCCUCAGGCAAUCGAAAUAUAUGAAGAGAUAGCACGUCACUCCCUAAACAACAAUUUAUUGAAGUAUGGAGUUAGAGGGCAUCUUCUUAAUGCUGGAAUUUGCCAACUUUGUAAAGGAGAAAUUGUUGCGAUAACCAAUGCACUGGAAAAAUAUCAGGUAUACAUUCUUCUUUUAUCUAGACCAUUAAGUUAUUUCUCCCUGUAGUAAUACUGGGAAUCAACAAUUUUCCAUUGCUCGUGUAGGACAUGGAUCCUACUUUCUCAAGGACUCGGGAGUACAAACUCUUAGUUGUAAGUUUUCAUUUAAUGUUGGUUUGAUGCAUCAAUUUUUAAAGAUGUCAUAGGGCUGCUGUUUUUUUUCACGGACUGGUGCUUUAUAUACUCAAUUUUUAGAAUAAUGGUAUCUAGACAAUCAGUCUAAGUGGUACUAUGUGAUGUGUUCAAUUAAAUGUGGAAUUAUGUGACACAGUUAAUUUGGCCUCUCAUUUAAUGUCACUUAGUACCAUUUAGACUGGUAUUAACAUGUGCUAUAUAGCAUAACUCUAGUUUUUAUCUUCGAUGCUAUAAAGUUAUAAACCUUGCUAAUGUGAUUAGAGUUCUUUUCUUUUCUUUUUUCUUUUUUUGCUUGUUAGGAUUUGGCUGCUGCAGUUGACGAGGAAGAUGCUGCAAAAUUCACAGCUGCUGUAAAGGAGUUUGAUACCAUAACCCGGCUGGUAAAUUAUUAUUUGAUUUAAUCUUAUUAUUUUUCUAGUAAUUCCUUACUCCGAUGUGAAAGAUUAUGCCUCUCUCUGAAAAGAUCUCAACCACAAAACCAAAUUAAUGAAAUCUAUUGCACAUCUUAUGUAGGCAUCAAAAAAUAAGAUCUUGAAUCUUAAAUUAAUCUCCAACUAAUGCAGGAGCAUGGUUGAAACGGGGGUUGGACACAAGGAAGUGGACUUGGAAUAGAUUCCUGAACUUGAUUCUAGGUGAUAUAAGAUGGAUUGCAUUAGUGCCAUGAGCUAUAGCUUUUGGAAAGAGUGGUGGCAAUACCUUAUGUCACAAACACAAUAAAAUAGAGAAAAAAGAACCCGAAUCAAAGAAAUAGGAGUGAUGUUUAUAAAAAGUCUGAAAGCGAACUUUUUAUUUUUAUUAUAUUUCGUAAAAGUAACUUGUGUAUUUUCGACUGUAAACUUGUAGCUCAUGUUGUUUCCUAUUUCUAAAUGCCACAAUACUCAUUUCCUAGUCGCUUCCAGGAAACUUGGAGGACCACUCUUCUGUUGCGAGUGAAGGAAACUCUAAAAGCUAAAGAACUUGAAGAGGAUGAUCUGACCUGACUGGAUAUAACUACUGAAACUUUCUCCUCUUUACCAUACAAAAUAACAUAUGGUCGUCAUCAUUGUUAUUAUUACCGUUAUUUUUGGGAUUUAUGGAGUUCCCUGUUUGUGAAUAACUUUGAUUCAGUCCAUGGACUUUUUGAAAUAUGUAUAUUACUUGAUUUACUUGAUUUUCAUUUUAUCAUUGUAGUUCUUUCCUAUUAAAUUUGGGAGAUAUGAUAGAUAAAGUAUUUAUAUAAUUUUAUAUCCAGU
rnacentral:lncRNA from 1 species